GCCUGGGUGGCUCAGUCGGUUAGGCGUCUGACUUCGGCUCAGGUCAUGAUCUCGCGGUCCGUGGGUUCGAGCCCCGCGUCGGGCU
rnacentral:tRNA from 1 species